AAUGCUAAUCUCAUCUCAACCUGAUCUUGUUCAUCCUUCUUAACAAUCACUUCAAGAGUGGAAUUCCAUGGACUCAUGUUGACAUCAUGGCAUAUGUCUGAAAUACUGAGAUUUGGAGCAUCUGAAUGAAUCCAUAUAUUCCCUUCUUUUUGUACAAGAUUUUCUCUCUAUUUUUAUGUCUUCUUUUGCUUUACUAAUGGUUCACUUACAUUGAAUUAUGUGGAUGAUCAGUGUUGAGCAUACAAGUGUAACAUGAGACUAUGAGAGUGAGCAUGAAAAUAUGAGGUGGGUUUUGGCUUUGAAGGUCAUAGUAAAAUUUACUGAUGAUCACUGUUGGGAGGUGGCUGGUGGGUGGCUGUGGCAAUGGGGUGGUGGUGGCAGGAGGUCGAUGAUGGUGAAGUGAGGUGGCUGGUGGUGCAGGUGGUGGUGGUUUAGGGAAAAAGAAGGAAAAUGUUAGAGAUGUAAUUUCAACUUUUUUGGGGGCGAUUUUAAGUACUUUUGGGGCGAUGAAUAGAAGUUCAGUUUGGAAAACUUGAGAUUGUUUAGUUUGUCGACACGAAUCAUGAUUGACUCAACAAACUAGUAUGGUACUAUGGUAGUAGCCAUAGUAGUUGAAUCUAAUUACACAUCAAAUAAUUUGAUUCUGAUAGAUUUUAUUAGUUAUAUUUGUUAUGUAUCAAAGAUGCAGUCAUCUAUUGAAGUAUCAAAAUUCUUUUCUUGUUACGGGAAAGUUUACAAGUUAUUUGGAAUUAGUUGUCUCGCGUUGAAUUAGAGGUAGCAGGGUGAAACAUACAAGACUAGUGGACUACUCCGAAUAUCAUCAAUUAGCUUUUGGACUUGUAUUCGAUUAAAUGCUAUCCUACGGCAUGUGUAUCCAUUGAACACUUAAAUAUAUAAUUUUUGUUGUUUUA